CCGACUCAAUGGACAUGAGUUUGGAUAAACUCUGAAAGUUGGUGAUGGACAGGGAGGCCUGGCGUGCUGCAGUUCAUGGAGUCGUAAAGAGUCGGACACAACUGAGCGACUAAACUGACCAGAGGGAGUAGCAAUGGAAGCAGCAGGAUUCUCCACUAGAAAAUGCAUGUGUAAACAUCAGCGGUUGGUUAGAAGACUGCUUCUUAAAUAAAAUACCAGCAGCAAGCACUGAAGGAAAUGGCAACUUUCCUGGGCAGCCAGUCCCAGAGUAAAAUGCGGCCCACCUGGGUGGGGUCCACUGGAGACUCCGGACUGUCAGGGUCACAGCUCUGGCCUGGCCAUACCUUGGCUGGCCAAGACCGUAUUCUAGAAGUUUAUUUUUGAAGACAAACAAAACAAAUCAAAGCAAAAAUAUUUUUUGUCACAUCCUCUUGUAUACAGUCUACACUCACAUUCACUCAUUUGUGAAUAUACAUGAAUUAAAACAGGUGCAUAGUAAAGUCCAUUUUUUGACAGGAAAAAAAAAGAUAAAGGGUAAUUAACACUCAGAGGAAAAUGAAUAGAUGAUACCUGAAAAUGUAGACUACUGAGGGAAUGAGGAAUAGGAUGAGAAAGUUCAAUGGGUAGGAAGGAUGAAUGCGUGAAAUCUGGCUGGUGUCAGCCGCACAAUCUGUACCCAGUCACUGACUGCUUCAGGGAAGACUUUCAGGCGGAUGGCUGUAACUUCUGACCCAUCUACCCUUGAUCCAACUUUCAAGAGUUUUCGUUGGGUUUUGUUGUUGUUUUAAAUCCCCAGUAUGUGAAGUAGUGACACUAAAAUCUUCCAUUCUGUCAGUUAUUGGAGGUUGCGUGAGAUAACUCAUUGCAGAUUGGAAAUCAUAAACGUUUGAAUCCUGGGCUCAAAUCCUGGCUUUCUCCCCUACUGGAUGGAAAUCUCUCCACGUUAUAGUUACCUUUUUAGUUAUUGCCAAUGUGACAGUAGGUGGCUAAUACUAUCCACCUCAUGAGACUUGUAUGGGGAGCAGAGCAGCUUAAAGCAAACAAAAUCCUGGCUCACAGAAUAUACUCAGCUAAGGCUGCUUGGGAGUAAUUAUUAAUUUCAAGAUGGUCAAUACCAAGAUAUGAGAGAACACCAUGAAAUGACUCAGCAGGCCUUGAAUUUACUGUUUUACUUAGAAAAAUAAAUAAAUAAAAGAGCACAGAAAGAACAGGAACAAGUGCUUUCUUGAUAAGGUGGCCUCAAACACUAUGCUCUGGUCUGUAAGGAAUAUUUUUUUUUUUCCUUUCUGAAGCGUCUCUUAAAUACUUAUAGUGCUCUUCUUUUCUUAUGCACACAUAUCAAUGGGAAAUUCAUACGUCGAAAAACAGGCUCCUUUGUGAGACCAAGAGUCAAACUUUUCACUCCAGUAAACGAGUGCUCAGAGGAUGACCUUAAAUUCACCACAGGCAGAGGAAGAUAACUGAAAACUGUUUUAGUAUCAAGGUUAUGCUGGCAUCAUGAAACAAGAUCUCAGAAGACUCAGGUUAUGAAGUAGCUUUAAAAGAAGAAUGAGGAAGAAGAGACUAUUUAGGAGAGAGGGAGAUUUGACACACAGAGAAGGUGAUGUGAAGAGAGAAGCAGAGAUUGGAAGGAUGUAGCCAUAAGCCAAAAAAUGCUAAUGAAUGCUGACAGCCACCAGAAGCUAGAAGACACAAAAAAUGGAUUCUCCCCAAACCUCUGGAAAGAAAUAAUCCUUCCCACACCUUGAUUUUGGACCUCUAGGCUCUAGAACUGUGAAAGAGUAAAUUUAUGUUAUUUUAAGUCACCAAGAUUUUAAUAAUUUUUAGUAGUAGCCACAAGAAAUUAGCACGAUGGAUAAAUUAAAACUGUUUAAUAUACAUUGGUUUGUCUUUUUUAUAAUAUAAGUAUAUAUAUCAAGA